rnacentral:pre_miRNA from 1 species
UUUCUAGCAUAAGUGUGUCCCACGUAAUAUUUAGGACAUACUUAUGCUUAAA